CACACCUAUAACAACUAUUGACUCUGAUUUCCCUGAUACAGUACAGGACAGUGCUCUCCUAAAGGCAAAGCACACGAAUGACGUUGGUUAACUCUCAGCCUCCAACUGGGCCUGAGACUGAGGAUUGAGAGCUUCCUGCUCGUGCCUCAGAAGUCAAGGUUGUGCCUAAGACCAAGGACCAAAACCAGGGCUCGAAGUUACCAAGCCACCCUGGACAACGGCGAACAGUCACUCAACCACUGCUCCCUGUUGAGGGAUCAGAAAAUGAAACUCAGCCGCCGAAUGACAACAAUCCCUUCCUGGUUGCGUUCCAACUGGGAAGAAGGGGGGUGAGUGAAACGGGGACACAUGAGGUGGAUGCAACAGCAAUAUUGUCAUUGGAAAUGUGAAACUAGAGUAAUUGUUGACAAAUGCCUAGGUGGUUUAGGUUGAUAGAACCAGGGUUUAUUGAUGACAUUAACGAUGUUUGUUGGCUCUGAGUUAACACCUCCCAGAGUCCACUGCCCGUGCAUGGAGAACAACUGGCGAGUAGCAGAGGAAAAUAGGGUUUGGUGAUGUAUGCCUACAUCCACAUUGUUUCUGAUGGAGUUUCACAAAAGCUAUGACUAAACUAAACAUCCUAAGCUUGAAGCUGUUAUGACUGUAUAUCCAUCUCUCUGUCCCGGUUUCUAUAAAACUCACCUCCAUUAUGAUGACGGAGUCAAUAGGACUCUCCCCUGAACACAGAAGUAUCCUGUUCCUGGACUGUAUCUAAUUCCAGGAGAGGGAAAAACCAGAUCCAGAUCCAGGGGUCGAGCCAGGGAAGGUUCACCAAAGAGGGCCAGCACCAGAGACCAUCGACCUCCAAUAGCCCCACUGUGCAGCUGCUAAAAGACGUGCAGCUGAGCGAGCAGGGGACGAUCCUGGCAGACCCCAUAGACCCCACACCCACACUGCAGAAUCCCCUUCCCGAGCAAACUGCUCGGUGAGGGAGAGGUAAGUGGGCUGACACGAGAUGUUUUAGGACAAGGGGGGAGCAAAGCAGAGUUCAUGCAAUAUGAAGGGCACAUGCCGUCACCCAGGUAAUCCACUUCAAGCUAAACCAAACCACAGAAAACCUCGAGGAGGCUCCUCGCAAGAGGCGGGCUUUCAAGUCUGAUGUAACGAUUGAUGCCAUAGGUCAGCCAAGGGGGGUGCCCAACGACUUUAAAGCAAGAAAUGAGGUGGCGUCAGGGUUUGAGUCCAUCUUACCCUGGAUAACGGUAAAUAAGAACACUGAAUGGAUUAAUUACCUGUACUAUAAUCAGCAGCGUUUCAUUAACUAUACAGACGAGGCUCUCACCGCCCUGGGCCAGCAGCUGUCGUCAACAUCAGCAAUGACCUGGCAGAACCGACAGGUAUUGGACUGGCUGCUGGCGGAGCGUGGGGGGGUGUGCACUCUGAUUGGUCAGGUAUGUUGCACAUUCAUACCAAACAACACUGCCCCUACAGGAAGAUUCGCACAAGCUAUGACUGACUUAAAAGCACUGAGACAGGAGGUGAAGGAUAAUGCAGGACACAAGACUGAAUGGUUUGAACUGAUGAGGGAGAGCUUGGGAGAUUGGGGGUUUAGCUGGGUAAGAAUAGGGAUUGCAGUGCUGCUGACCUUAUUGGCCAUUGUAUUGAUUCUCUGCUGUUGCAUACCCAUCUUCCGGUCUCGUGUCAAAACCCACUAUGCCUGCCCCAUUGUAGCUAAGAUGAAGGAGUUGGAUGACUCACAUGCUUUUUCUCUGUUUAAGAGCAAGCCUUCUGCCCCGGACUUGUACCCUGUCCAGGUGGCGGAGGGACAAAGUGGCUGAAUGAUGUCCCAAACCAGGCCACACCGGGCGAUGCCAAAUCAAUCGAGCCGCUUCGAGGCCGUGGAACAUCGCUCAAUGAGUAUACCAAGCACAUAAUUUUGUUUGUUUUAUGAGUUUAAUUUUUGUUUUAUUAAUUGAGUGGUGUAUAUGUAACUCAGUGAUUUGUGCAUUAAUCAGUGUAGGUUUGUGGAGGACUGCCCUCCCAAACCCAUUUCUGUUGAAUCAUCCAUGGUUUCUCCCCCCAUUAAAAGAGCGAGGCCUAAAAAGCCGGGGGGAGUUUUACUCCAGGAUCUGAUGAUACAGAGGAGCAAAGGCAAUUCUGAACAGAUAUUUGAGUACUGCAUAUGUUGUUGUAAACUUUAUGUGUGGACUUGAUGUUUGAUCAUAUACCAUCGUGUUUUUGUGAAACUGUAUUUGAGGGUCUGGGGGUAUUUACCUAGCCAAAGGAAGGUUAUAUACUCACACAUAUUGCAGGCUUACAACCAUAUGAGUAGACUGAGCCAAGGCUUCCCUCAGACUGGGGACCUUGUUUACACAACAUGAAUUUGGACAGUUUCAUUACAGGCAAACACUAGCUUACUAUUCUACCAUAUACUCGCCUAUUACUCAAAAGAAUUAAGGAAAAUUGGGUCUGAGGAGUUUUGUUUUUUUCAAUGUUUAAAUGUUUUACAGGCUACACAGAAAAAUAGAUUAUGGGAGGAGUAGUGUGGGCAAAAUGCCCACAAAGGGGGGAGUGUGGAGGAUUUUUGGUGUAAGGUGACCUCAAGAAAGGAGUCAACUAGGACAGGGGUUAGAUGAGGAGAGGAAAUAGCCCACGUAGGGAACUAGGCCAGGAAAGGAGACUUGUUUAUCCCAUGUUUAUCCCCAUGUAAGGAAUUAGGUGAGAGAGGAGGCUGUUUGGGUCCCAUGCUCGAUAAUGAGGAGAAGAGUGAGCUGGGAGAGUCACUCUCCCCCUCCCGUUAGAAUGUUCUUUUCAGAGAAGAAGUCAGGUCGGGAUGACCUGAUAGGGAAAUGUUGCUCGAGUGAGACCACGGGUUGUGCAAGAAUGACCACGGGUUGUCUAAGGACAGCCAAGUGAGGGAGGACAUCUGUUUAUCUUGAACAAACUGUGUGAUUGUCUGAUAGUUGCCAAACAUAUUUGUGUGACGUAGAAAGACUGUAUAAAAGUUCUUGUCUAUUGAAUGCAUGUCGGACCUCCCUGGCUAGGGAGGCUCGGCGUAUGAGAGACUUCCCUGGCUAGAGAAGUUCUGCGCAUGAUUUCCAAUCUGCCUGGCAACAAUAAAGACAAGACCUUUGCAAUCAAUCUUCUGACUCCAAGCCUGUUAAUUCUUGCUUCACUAAGAACCACUUUCGAGACCCCAACAAGAGCUAUUUAACCUACCUGAGCAGACAUUCAAGAAGAAGAAUGUGCGUCGCUCGCGGACGCUGACUCAGAACAGACGUUGAAGGUCACUUGGAAAAUCUACAUACAUUGAUUCAUAGACAUACGUCUAUGCAUUGAGGACCGUCGAGAAGGAUGGUUCUGGUUCAUCCUGGUUCUGGUUCUGAUGGAGGUUUCUUCCUGUUAAAAGGGAGUUUUUUUCUUUUCACAGCUAUCUCUGCACGCUCAGAAGGGGAGAUUGGAUUGGAAAGAAAUUUCACAGCAAUUUCCUUAUCAUAGUCACUUUUUUAACUGGCUACAUAUGAAAUGGACUAAUUUGGAAUUUAAUGAAUUUGAUUGGAUUUGAUUAUCAGUGGAUUGUAAUGACUUGGACUUUACAUGGCCUGAAUGGUAUCUCUGAAGUACUCUGAGUUGACAUUUGUUGUGAUUUGGCGCAACAUAAAUAAAACUAUUAAUGAACAUGUAGGCCUACAUGUAAAUAUGUGUAUCAUACAACAUUUAAAGUACUGAAACAUAUCUUUAUUGAAAUGAUAAAUCAAGGUUGAUUCUGUCCAGGGUGUCUUAAAGCACUUUUCCCUCUGCUUGUCACUAGUAUUGCAAGAACUGAACCUUGCACUACUAGAUAUAGUCAAUAUUUUUGACUGGUACUGUGUAUAGGCUACACAUAUAUGCAUAUAUAUAUAAAUACACAUAUUUGUAUGUGCGUCACCGUCUCUCUGGCUCUGCUCCCUGCCUUUGUUGGUUCAUUUCAGACCCUUUCUCUCCCCCUCUCUCUUCUCUGCAAUCUAGUCAACUGCACUCACCUGUUUUCCUUCCUUUAUAAGCAGGUCUGCUAGCCCCAUUUUUCUCUACCAGGUUGUCUGCAACCUGAACCUCAGCACAUUAAGUCUUUUGGGCCUGGUUUUCUAUCUCUCUUGGAUCUCUGGAUUUCUGCACCUGCUCUGUUUCUUUGCUAUUCUUGAUCCUGCGUAUAACCCAGUUUCUGUAUUGAGUUUGAUUGUAAGGAUUUGGGGUUUGACUAUUUAGGGAUGUCCAAAGUCGGUCCUCAAGGGCCGCUGCCCUGCAGGUUUUAGAUUCUUCCCUGUGUAACAAGGUAAAAAUGAAACUAAGUACCUUUAGUGAACUUUCUCCAAAAUCUUUGCAGUAUUUAAUAUUUCUUUUUGGUUCCAUUACUGGGUUCAGUAUUGUUCCCGGUGGGGCAAUAAUUGAGGUUGCGCACUUUCAGACUGUCCCUCGUGUGGAAGUCUGUUACAGGGCAUGCCUCAAAUGGCUCCCAUAAACUCUCCUGGAUGUCCAGGAGAGCUCCAUUUGACAGCAGGACCUCCAGCUGUCCUUCGGUGCUGCCCUCUGCCACACCCAGGACCUCCACCCCGACUGCCUCCUGUGUCACGGUCACCAUCUCCCAAAAUAAAUAUUACUUAUGUCUCAUGACAUCUUGCGAUCAAAUAGUAAACUAUUUUCUUUCUUUUUUUUCAUUUCAAUGAUAUCACUUGUCCCGUUAUAUCUGCAUGAUACAUUUCAGUGUUGAAAACCACAACCAUUUACAUGGCUUAAUGAAAUAUACUCAAUGCCCUGUCAUGAUCUGCUCAGGAGAUUAAUGCCUAACAAGGACACCUAUGAUUGUAUACCUAAUGUUGUAUACCUAAUUCAACACAUUUAAGUUUUUUUCACAUUAUCCUUAAUGAUGGUCUGUCUUAACUACACAUACUUCUGUUAAAAUAGAUUAUUUUACAUUUAAUGCAUUGAAUUUAACCCACAUUUAUUUAUAUCAAUGUCCUUGUUAAUAGGAAUUGUGAUUUACCUUUAUGUUGGUGUGGGCAGUUGACUGCAGCAAAUCACCUCCUGCAGCCCUACUCGUCAGGUGCGAGAAGUUGUAGGUGCUGCCAAGCACCAGCUCCUCAACCGCAGCAUCGCGCCAAAGAUUUAUGGUGACAUCAGAUUUAUCCUGGAGAUAACACAGAAUGAUACAUUAGAACUACAUAAGAGUUCUACUUGAAGAUCUGAAGAAAAAAAGAUUGAGAAGAGUCUAAUUCAUUUGGUCCUGUAAAAGACAACAAUGAGCAAGAGUUUUGACAAUUAUGAUAAUGAAUUUAAUUCAGUAUGUGUAACCGUGUCUUUACUUUCUGCUACAACACUUUUAUAAUUCAACAGUGAAAUUCUGAUAUUGAGCAGUUCCUUGCCUUCACUGAUAUUUGUUGACCUAAAGAUAUCACUGUAAACGUAUUCAGAUUUUUAGCAAUCCAACAAACCUGCAACAUGUAAUUUAACUGCUAAAGUUUCAGCUAUUCCCACUAAGCAAUGCUGUGAUAUAUUACAUGGAUAUAGUGAGCAAUACACAUUAUAAUGCAGAAAAUGCUUUUUAAAAAGCCAUUUCUAUUGUGUUUGGCAGGAAACUGUUUAAAUGCUUGGCACCAUGGAACUGUUUGAAAGUACUGACAACUUUGUAUGACAACUCUCUAUUACAAGGAUGAUGAAACAGGCAAUUUUGAAUUUUU